AACUUCUAUUAUAAUUUAGCCUGCCUGGAUUUGAGAUGUUCUGUGAGCGAUUCCAUUGCCUCUUGUUUCUUUGUUCCUUAAUGUUUGUCUGAAGUAUUGAGUUUAGCCGUGUGGGGACAAAAAUCUUGGAAACCCUGGCUUCUAUCAGGCAUUUUGGAUAUUGCAAGCUUGAGUUUACUGAGUGAUAAGAAGGAUCUCAACAAACGUGAACGAAUGGAGCUGAAACGCCGGACUAUCCUGCUACUGUAUUACCUAUUAAGAUCCCCCUUCUAUGACAGAUACUCUGAGGGUAGGAUCCUCUUUCUUCUGCGCUUGUUGGCAGAUUAUGUCCCUGGUGUCGGCCUAGUGACUCGUAAGUAGAAGUCUGCCAGUUCCCCCCCCCCCCAAAAAAGAUAACGUUUAUCGGUGAAGGAAAUCAUGAGGAUGGAGUCUCCUCCUCUCUGUAUGCUUGUCUGAAGAAUCUCUGUAUAUUUACAUGAGGGAGAGUUGAAAUGCCUAUAGAUCAGGGGUGUCAAACUUGUGGCAUCAUGUUGUCACAUGAUGUAUCGCGACUUUCCCCCCCCUUUGCUAAACUGGGCGUGGUCAGCACAUGACACAUCUGGCCUGCAGGCCGUGAGAUUGAUACCCCUACAAUAGAUGAAGGCAAAGUUGGAAAUGUUGAAUUUGUUUGAUGUCGUCACUGAGGAUUUUGAAAUGUCUCCCCAGAAUCUCUAAUUGGUUCCUCAGUUAUAUUGACAGUGAGACAUUGGACUUGUUUUAUCAGGCUUGCUUAGUGAAGGAUGUCUGGGAUCUACAAAACCUUAUCUUCCAUUAUCAUGUUAACAGUCAGAGAGCCUAAAUGUUUUGGAUCUAGCAUCUGGAAAUUUCUAGGCAAUAUCUAGAAAUGCAGGUUAUUACAUGAAUAAGAUAAAUGCAUAACAUUCAGGGUUCCCCCACUCACCUGUAAGGUUGCUACUUGUUCUUACCCAGGCUUCCCGAGAGCAUGAACCGGUCUCCUUUUCUCGACAAAAAACCCUUUUAUUAAUUUACUGUGGAUUCUGCUCAUUUGCAUCCAGCAAUGUCUUUCAAGCAAUGUCUUUCAAGGGAGGAUUUACAGUUACAGACUUUAUCUGGCUUGGAGAGCUGACAGGACGAUAUUUGC